ensembl:snRNA U6 U6 spliceosomal RNA
GUGCUUGCCUCAGUAGCACAUAUACUAAGAUAGGAACACAGAGAAGAUUAGCAUGACCCCUUGCACAAGGAUGACAUGCAAAUUUGUAAAGCUUUACAUAUUUUA